rnacentral:lncRNA from 1 species
CGAAAUCAUUGGUAGUGAAGGAAGCUGGUGGGGUCGGUGUUAUUGUCGCCAACGUGGAACCGGAGGGAGGGAACAUAAUCGCCGACGCUCACCUCAUCCCUGGUUUGGCCAUUACCCAAUGGGGCGGUGACCUGGUUCGCGAUUACAUAAGCUCCACUAAGACGCCCGAAGCCACAAUAGUAUUUCGAGGGACCCAGGUGGGGGUGAAACCGGCGCCUGUCGUUGCAUCGU